UGGGGAAUAUUGCACAAUGGGCGCAAGCCUGAUGCAGCCAUGCCGCGUGUAUGAAGAAGGCCUUCGGGUUGUAAAGUACUUUCAGCGGGGAGGAAGGCGAUGUGGUUAAUAACCGCGUCGAUUGACGUUACCCGCAGAAGAAGCACCGGCUAACUCCGUG
rnacentral:rRNA from 1 species